UCACCCCUCAAGCCCGGCUUGCUGUUGGACUCUGGGCCUUUUCUCGGUUAAAAGGCCGGUCUCAAAGAUAAUGACGGCGUCUGUGAGGACUCCAGUACACUGAGCUUUCGGGCACGUACUCGGCCAGCCCUCCAGGCCCCGGUCUUACUUAAUCCUCUAUUGGAUACUUCUCA
rnacentral:misc_RNA from 1 species